ACGGAGGGGGCUAGCGUUGUUCGGAAUUACUGGGCGUAAAGCGCACGUAGGCGGACUGGAAAGUCAGGGGUGAAAUCCCGAGGCUCAACCUCGGAACUGCCUUUGAUACUGGCGAUCUUUGAGUCCGGGAGAGGUGAGUGGAACUCCGAGUGUAGAGGUGAAAUUCGUAGAUAUUCGGAAGAACACCAGUGGCGAAGGCGGCUCACUGGCCCGGUACUGACGCUCAGGUGCGAAAGCGUGGGGAGCAAACAGGA
rnacentral:rRNA from 1 species